rnacentral:rRNA from 1 species
AUUGAACGCUGGCGGCAGGCUUAAUACAUGCAAGUCGAGCGAGCGGCGGACGGGUGAGUAAUGUCUGGGAAACCGCCCGAUGGCAGGGGAUAUACACUGGAAACGGCAGCAAAAACCGCAUACCAUCAGAUGUGCCCAGAUGGGAUUAACUAGCAGGUGGGGUAAUGGCUCACCUAGGCGACGAACCCUAGCUGGUUUGAGAGGAAGACCAGCCAUACUGAAACCUAGACACGGUCCAGACUCCUACGAGAGUCAGCAGUGGAGAAUAUUGCACAAGGGGCGCGAGCCUGAUGCAGCCAUGCCGCGUGUGGUAGGAAGGCCUUGGGGUUGUGAAGCACUUUCAACGAGGAGGCGUUACUCGCAGAAGAGGCACCGGCUAACUCCGUACCGGCCGCCGCGGUAAUUC